rnacentral:RNase_P_RNA from 1 species
CGAGCAAGUGAGGCGAUUGCUCCUUUUUUUCGCGAAAACGAGAGGAAGGGGAGGAAAGUCCGAACUCCCUUUCCCUAUUAGAUAGCGCGCAAGCGUCCAUUUAAUGGGGUCAAAAAAGAUAGCGGGUAACGCCCGCCGACCGCGAGGUCAGAGGUGCGAACAGAGACGUUCCGAACCGAAAGGCGAGGAACGCCCAGUACAUAAUAAAUUAUGUGCUGGGCGAGCUUUCGAAGCAGUUUGGGGCUUGCCCUGAGCGAAGUCGAAGGGUGAAACGGCCAAAUCCUUAUCGGGCGCAAGAGCAAACCCGGAAGAAAUUUUUAUGAUUUUUUUCGGUUCAAAGUGGCUCGCUUGAGCCCAACGGUAACGUCGGGCCCAGACAAAUAAUCGUUUGAGAAACAGAAUUCGGCUUACGGCUUACUCGGUUU